rnacentral:rRNA from 1 species
CACACCGCCCGUCACACCAUGGGAGUUGGCUUUACCCGAAGACGGUGCGCUAACCAGCAAUGGAGGCAGCCGGCCACGGUAGGGUCAGCGACUGGGUG